rnacentral:rRNA from 1 species
AACUAACAAGGAUUGGUCCAGUAACGGCGAGUGAAGCGCCAUUAGCCCAGGUUGUGAAUCGUCACUUGUGUCGAAUUGUGGAAUGCCGCUCGGUCCGUCCAGCUCGUGGACCAAGUCCCCUGGAACGGGGCAGCAGAGAGGGUGAUACUCCCGUAGGUCCGCGAGCGCGAGUUCCGUGCAGAGAGUCGAGUUGUUUGGGAUUGCAGCUCGAAGUGGGUGGUAAAUUCCAUCCAAGGCUAAAUACUGGCGAGAGACCGAUAGCAGACAAGUACCGUGAGGGAAAGAUGCAAAGCCGCGCGAGAGCGCAGUCAAAGAGUACCUGAAGUUGCUGAAAAGGAAGCGAAGGAAACCAGUGUGAGCCAGUCCGCACUUCCCCGGUUGCUUGCGACCGGGGCGCUGCGGCUGGUGUAGUCUUGUUGGUUGGUCCAGCAGCGGACGAUAAUGGCGCUGCGGGCUGA